UACGGAGGGUGCAAGCGUUAAUCGGAAUUACUGGGCGUAAAGCGUGCGUAGGUGGUUCGUUAAGUCCGUUGUGAAAGCCCCGGGCUCAACCUGGGAAUGGCGAUGGAUACUGGCUCGCUAGAGUGCGGUAGAGGAGAGUGGAAUUCCCGGUGUAGCAGUGAAAUGCGUAGAGAUCGGGAGGAACAUCAGUUGCGAAGGCGGCUCUCUGGACCAGCACUGACACUGAGGCACGAAAGCGUGGGGAGCAAACAGG
rnacentral:rRNA from 1 species